GCUAGUGAAAAUAUAUAAAAAAUAACGAGAAAUACUUGAAUAAAUAAAUAUGUACUGUUCACAGAUUUAUCAAGGGGAUACGUUUUAUAGAUUCGAAUCAUCAUAGAUUUCAUUUCAUUUGGUUACGCGAAAGCGUGUAGGUAGAAGUGUGCAUAAUAAUUAGUUCUAAUUACGCUUUCCGACCGAUAUUUACGCUAUACCAGAC